GGCUCUUCUAUUUUUGGUGACAUAUUUGCAAGUAGGAAGCGUAGAAUGCUAGAAUCCCCUUCAUUUACAUAAUCCUCGCCCGCAAUCUGUUCAAUUUCAACUUGUAUUUCUUUACGCUUCAUAAUCAGCUUGUCAACAGUGUUCCUUAUAAGCAUCACUGCCUUCUCUGCUAGUAGCUGUCUUGGAAUUAUCUUGCACAAGCAAUCAACCUUCCAGUAUGGCCAAAGAUCUGUAGAACGAAGCUCUGCUUCUUUGAGUGCAGUAUAAACAGCAUCAAUGAUAGGACUAUCUGUUAUGUGGGAAUCGAACUUGCAGUUGAACAAUGAUAAAUCAAUGUCAUCUUCAAAUAAUAUUUUCUGAUCCUUAUCUUUCAAUCCAUUGUCAUACUCAGAAUACUGAUGAUCAGCAACGGCCUCCCUGGUUUUGCCUGCAUUCAUCCCAUCAUUAAGUAAAGCUUCUAUACAAGCUGGCACAAAGACUGCAGUUACGAUCUGUUCAUCCAUCGGUCGAUCAACCACAUCAUCAACCUUGCCAUCCUCAGAUAUGAUGAAUAUUCUCUCCUCAUUGGUACUAUCUAUGGUGGGAGACAAC
rnacentral:lncRNA from 1 species